GGCCCGCGGCCUAUCAGCUUGUUGGUGAGGUAAUGGCUCACCAAGGCGACGACGGGUAGCCGGCCUGAGAGGGUGACCGGCCACACUGGGACUGAGACACGGCCCAGACUCCUACGGGAGGCAGCAGUGGGGAAUAUUGCACAAUGGGCGAAAGCCUGAUGCAGCGACGCCGCGUGAGGGAUGACGGCCUUCGGGUUGUAAACCUCUUUCAGUAGGGAAGAAGCGAAAGUGACGGUACCUGCAGAAGAAGCGCCGGCUAACUACGUGCCAGCAGCCGCGGUAAUACGUAGGGCGCAAGCGUUAUCCGGAAUUAUUGGGCGUAAAGAGCUCGUAGGCGGUUUGUCGCGUCUGCCGUGAAAGUCCGAGGCUCAACCUCGGAUCUGCGGUGGGUACGGGCAGACUAGAGUGAUGUAGGGGAGACUGGAAUUCCUGGUGUAGCGGUGAAAUGCGCAGAUAUCAGGAGGAACACCGAUGGCGAAGGCAGGUCUCUG
rnacentral:rRNA from 1 species